rnacentral:piRNA from 1 species
UAAAUAAUGCUUGGGCAUCCAAAGAGAAGC